GUAGGUGGCAAGCGUUGUCCGGAAUUAUUGGGCGUAAAGCGCGCGCAGGCGGUUCUUUAAGUCUGAUGUGAAAGCCCACGGCUCAACCGUGGAGGGUCAUUGGAAACUGGAGAACUUGAGUACAGAGAGGAAAGCGGAAUUCCACGUGUAGCGGUGAAAUGCGUAGAGAUGUGGAGGAACACCAGUGGCGAAGGCGGCUUUCUGGUCUGUAACUGACGCUGAGGCGCGAAAGCGUGGGGAGCAAACAGGAUUAGAUACCCUGGUAGUCCACGCCGUAAACGAUGAGUGCUAAGUGUUAGGGGGGUUUUCCGCCCCCCUUAGUGCUGCAGCUAACGCAUUAAGCACUCCGCCUGGGAGUACGGCCGCAAGGCUG
rnacentral:rRNA from 1 species